CUGCCCGCGCCCGCCGGCCGCGCCACGGCCCCGCCGCCCCCCGCCCCGCCGCCGCCGGCCCCGCCGCCCGCGCGCGCCCGCCCCGCCGCCGCCAUGGGCGUGCAGGGCUUCCAGGACUACAUCGAGAAGCACUGUCCGAGCGCCGUGGUGCCGGUGGAGCUGCAGAAGCUGGCCCGGGGCAGCCUGGUGGGCGGCGGGCGGCAGCGGCCCCCGCAGACCCCGCUGCGCCUGCUGGUGGAUGCCGACAACUGCCUGCACCGCCUGUACGGCGGCUUCUACACCGACUGGGUGAGCGGCGGCCAGUGGAACCACAUGCUCGGCUACCUGGCGGCUCUGGCCAAGGCCUGCUUCGGAGGCAACAUCGAGCUUUUCGUCUUCUUCAACGGCGCGCUCGAGAAGGCCCGGCUGCACGAAUGGGUCAAGCGGCAGGGCAACGAGCGCCAGACAGCGCAGCAGAUCGUCAGCCAUGUCCAGAACAAGGGCACGCCACCGCCCAAGGUCUGGUUCCUGCCUCCGGUCUGCAUGGCCCACUGCAUCCGCCUGGCGCUCAUCCGCUUCCACGUCAAGGUUGCACAGAGCAUUGAGGAUCAUCAUCAAGAAGUGAUUGGUUUCUGCAGAGAGAACGGCUUCCAUGGCUUGGUGGCGUAUGACUCUGAUUAUGCACUGUGCAACAUCCCCUACUACUUCAGUGCCCAUGCCCUGAAACUGAGCCGCAACGGGAAGAGUCUCACCACAAGCCAAUAUCUGAUGCACGAAGUUGCCAAGCAACUGGACCUGAACCCAAACCGUUUUCCUAUUUUUGCUGCUCUGUUAGGAAAUCACAUACUACCUGAUGAGGAUCUGGCUUCUUUUCAUUGGAGUUUACUUGGUCCAGAGCAUCCACUCGCCUCACUGAAGGUCCGAGCCCACCAGCUGGUCCUGCCACCGUGUGAUGUAGUGAUCAAAGCCGUAGCUGAUUAUGUCCGCAACAUUCAUGACACGUCUGACCUGGAUGCGAUAGCUAAAGAUGUUUUCCAGCAUUCACAGUCUAGAACAGAUGACAAAGUCAUUCGCUUUAAGAGAGCAGUUGGAUAUUACUCAGCAACUAGCAAGCCUAUGCCAUUUCACCCACCACAUUACUUAGCCCGACCAAAUCCAUUCGGAAUGCCUGGGAUGGUGCCACCAUAUGUUCCCCCUCAGAUGCUCAACAUUCCACAGACUUCUCUGCAAGCAAAGCCCGCGGUCCCACAAGUGCCCAGCCCAGGGGGCACCCCAGGCCAGGCUCCAUACCCGUACAGCCUCCCUGAGCCAGCCCUCGCCCUGGACACUAGCGGGAAGAACCUGACAGAGCAGAACAGCUACAGCAACAUUCCUCAUGAGGGGAAGCACACACCGCUGUAUGAGCGCUCCUCGCCCAUCAACCUGGCCCAGAGUGGCAGCCCCAAUCAUGUGGAUUCUGCCUACUUCCCUGGCUCUUCCACAUCAUCAUCAUCGGACAAUGAUGAGGGCAGUGGAGGGGCAACCAACCACAUCAGCGGGAACAAGAUUGGCUGGGAGAAGACAGGAAGCCAUGCAGAGCCACUGGCACGGGGAGACCCAGGAGACCAAGGAAAGGUAGAAGGUUCAUCCACGGCUUCUUCGGGGAGCCAGCUACCUGAAGGCAAAGGCAGCCAUAUGGGUACUGUUCAGCCAAUCCCCUGCCUCCUGUCAAUGCCCACCAGGAACCACAUGGACAUCACAACCCCUCCCUUGCCCCCCGUCGCACCUGAGGUGCUGAGAGUGGCUGAGCACAGACACAAGAAGGGACUGAUGUACCCCUACAUCUUCCACGUCCUGACCAAGGGUGAAAUCAAAAUUGCUGUUUCUAUUGAAGAUGAAGCCAACAAAGACCUGCCUCCGGCCGCCCUGCUCUAUAGGCCAGUUCGUCAGUAUGUUUACGGAGUCCUGUUUAGUUUGGCAGAAAGCAGAAAGAAAACUGAGAGACUUGCUUUUAGAAAGAACAGACUUCCACCAGAAUGUAUGUACUGUAACAAUCCAUUGUUUGUCUCCCUCGGUACCUCGUAAUCUCUUGUGCAUUUUCUAAAACCUUAGGAGUAUCAUGGCUGAGUUGCCUGAGACCCUUCUUGUGCAGAAGGUGGGCUGUCCUCUGGGCAGUAGGCCAGGGUCGAGCCCUCAGAACAGGAGAAGCCAUACUUGGUACUGCUUUAGUAAUGAUGUUCAUCUCGUAAGAAUAAAAUAGCAGGUUUCCAAUGUUAAACUUGACAUUGCUCUGAAAAUGUCUUCAAAUAGCCAUCACUCUCUGUGACCAGCCUGUUUUAGUAGCGGAGAUGCUUAUGUCUGCCCCUAUGCUCACGAGACACAAUCUAACUCUCCAGGAGCUCGGAGGUCUGGAGAGCAGCUCCUAUCAGGUUCUACCACUAUAGUGGAUUCACUUCAGACUGCCAUGGUUUACCUGGGUAUGGCUACUUCGGUUCAUCAACGUGGGGGAGGGGAGGGACAUUAACAGAAAGGACUGUUUGGAAUACUAGUCAAAGUUGAGGUCCAAAUCAGUGUCUUUCAUGAGGCCUAUUUUAUAUUUUUGGGAAAGUUGUGUUUUCUUUUUUAUACUUUUAUCUGCUAAUUUAAGAAUACAAAAAUUAAUAUAUGCUAGGAAGUACAGAAAUGGUAUCUAAAACAUAGGUCUAAAAAUCAGAAUAUUGUGAGUAUUUUAUAAAUUCCUGGACCAUUCUCUCGAGCAAAGACUCUUUAGUUGUGACUUGGGCUGAGCUGGCAAGUGUUGGUCUCACUAGGUGGUGACAUGAAUGGCCAGCACUUCCUGACUAGCUUGUCCAGUUCUGAGCAUGGGAACUGUAAACUCAGUCUACAGGAUCUUAAACUGUCUCAGGAUAGCUUGAACUCCAAGCUGCCCUCCUGCCUCAGCCUCCUGAGGUCUGGAAUGGCAGAUUAUGAGCCAGAACACCUGGUUUAAAUUCAGUGCAUUGUUAAAUUUUCCUUGGAGCUGUAAGGCUUUAGAACAGGCACCCUACUUUCCCGUUUCUUAGAGUUAGUUAUACUUGGAUGCAACUGAAUAGUGCCCACCAGGACUUCUACUCUCUACCUGUCUGUGUCAGAAAGCUAUGGGUUCCUGUGCCUCCCACCUGGGGCCUCUCUACUCAGCCCUUCAUCCUCAGCUCCAAAGGACUGGAUUGGUUUCUCAAAAGAUAGUCAUUUGUUUAUUUGCUUGAGUGUUCAGAAUCAGGGCUACUCUUCAAAAGAGUUUCCAGUAACCAUUUAUGGCAUCCCGCAGCACCCGCUGUACUGACUCCUUCCCCUCGGGCCUGGGGUUUUGGUUUCUUAGUGUGCUGCCAUGCCAUAGAUACUCAGAGAGACUCUUGACCUCAUGCCCUGCUGCAGGUCUUCAGGCAGCAAGGACAAGUCUUUGCAAAGCUCAUGGGCAAAGUGCAUGAGGAAUGGAGCAUGUUAGAGGCCAGGCAAAGCCUUUUUCUUGGGGAUGCCCACUUGCCUUUAACCUUGUUUCAAGCAGGUCUUGGAAACCCCUUGGGAAUGAGUCAUCAAGCAAAGAAAAGAUUGGGGAGUGUCCACCAGGCAGUCACAAAGUGAAUGGCUGGCCAGAGACGGAGACGGUGGUUAUUCCCAGUUGGUGCUCUCCAAGGACUGAUGGGAAAAGCUAAAUGAUUUGAGGCAUGAAAUAAAAUGCAGAUUUCAGCAAGACAAAGAAGAGUAUAGAGUCUUUGCUACAACUGCAGAGAAUAGUGUUGAGGAUAUGACUUCACUGUGAUAUGUUUGAGCUGUGUAUGGUAGACAUGCCUGUACUCCUGGCUCACAAGGCUGAGUCAUGUGAGCUUCUAUAGUAAAUUCCUGGCCAGUGUGGGCUACAUAAUGCAAGUGUGCCUCAGCUAAAAUAGAACAAAACCACCAUCCAUUUUAUGGUAUAAGCUGUUGGGUUUUCUGCUUCAUAUUUCCUGUAUUUUUGAAGUUCCUCAGGAUGAUAUGUAGACUUAGAUUAAAGGAUGAAGUGUGGAGGCAGGAGCAGUGCAUUCAAUGGAAAUGAUAGGACAUUGACCCAACAUGCCCGAGCCCCGGGUUCUAUUCAGAAAGUUUCAUUUGUAUUAGUACAGUGAUAUAUUUUAGAAUUAGAGAUGCUUUUAUAUCUUUCUAGCCUUAUUUGUUUUGUUUUUAUUGCCAUAGUAUCUUGCUUUGUAGCUCAAGCUCACCUCGAACUUCAAUGUUUUUCUGCCUCAGCCCCAAGUAUUGAGAUUUUAGGCCUGUGUCCCCUACCCAGACAUUCCUAUAUCUCCCAUGAAUGCUGUUUGCAAGUUACAUCACUCAGGACUUGUUCAUUCUGCACAGCUUUCUAGUGCUAGCACUGACACUGCCCUCCCAGAUUCCAAAUUAACUAGCUCAAGAAGUAGUUACUCAGGACCAACACCACCACCAGUCUGUACUAUGACUCUUUUGAGUAGAUUCUUACUUCUUAAGUCCUUAACUUUUUGAGUUUAUAAAACUCUAAAAGGAGAGGGAGGACUGGGUAGCACUCAUCUUUGUCUUUGCUAGUGUGCCUGCCUGUGUCCUACGGACUAUUGGACAUCACUUUUCUCACGGGUGGUACCUGCCUCAGAUAUAAAAGCUUUAAGAGGAGCCUCUUAGUUGGUACCCCUUGAGGAUUGUGGAGGUGCUCAGAGUAAGGAGGUAGAGUGUUGUGCUCCUCACUGCCCUCCACCUGCUGGUUUCUGAGUGGGCAGCAUCCACGAGAAGGAAAGAACAGAUUUCAUGGUAUCCAGUUUUUUUCUAUCCUAGGUUAAAGCUGCUAACAUAAUUUUCCCUGCACGAUCUGAGGCAUAACAGCCGCCCCUCCCUGGUAUGCGUACACUCAGGUUGCAGGUCUGAAAAGCUGUCCCUUUUGCUGUAUUUUCCUCCCCCUUGUAAAGGUGGUGUAGCAUGCUGCAAGGACCCCUGCCAUGGUACUUCUGUGGCACAGAGCUGCGGAGGCAGCUGCCGUAGGCCCUUAAGAACACCUGUGUAAAGCCAGCUGCGCUUACUGCGCUUGGGUUAGGAGUGGAGGCCCAGAUUAUCCACCAUAUAAGCGCAUGAUUAAUGUCGGAUGGCAAACACUGGGUUUUUACUAACAGCUUAAGUAUGGCAGUGUUUUAUGGCCCCAAACUGCAUUUGAGGGCGUGUUUUCUAUAAAGUAAGUAUUAUAAAUUGAGCCUACAAUCCCAUAAAUGCUUGCUCUUCUACAAUUAAUAGUUUUACUAAUGGUUUUAGAAUAUGGACAGAAAGCUAAUUUCUGCUGCUUUGUAGAAGUGGGCUCUGUCUAGAAGCAGUAGCUUUUCUGUCAGUAGAAAAGGUAACAUUAAUGUUCAUUGAGGUGACAGGUCAUACAUGACCUCUUGGGUACUCUUACUUGAACAUGACUUCCUGUAAUGGUCCUACCAUGACCCAUGCUGUGACUCCAGGCUAGAUACCACCACCCUAGCAACCUGGGGCCCUGUCACUCUCUUAGGUCUGUUAUUUAAAAUGCAUUUAAAGAGGUAGGUAUAGAUCUGGGAGUAGUAGUGAUGAAAUCUGAUGAAAACACGUUGUACGGAAUGCUGGAAAGAAUGAAUAAAAUGCCAUGUUAAAAUUUAUAUUAAAAUUAUAAUUAGUUAAUAUAAGUACCAUAAAUAUAACAUAAAUAUUGUAAAUAUUGGUGAGAGUGCUGGGUGCUUUUUAUGUUAAUUAUUAGCAUUUUGUUGCCUUUUUUCUUAGCCUCUGGAACCAGCCAGGGCUGCACUUGUUCCUUCAACUGUCUCUUUUCUCCCAUCCCUGCCUGGCAUAUGAAGUACCCACUAGAUGUGUUUAAUGAUUGGCCAGUGAUUGCACAGCUAUUGAGUGGUGAUAUAUUCAGAAGUUCUCCAAAUAUUAGAGUGUUUAAAAACAGCUGAGCAUCUGGGGAAGAAAAUAAAAUAAAUCCUGCACACCAGUGUCUUUGGAGCCAGCGUUGUGUGUUUAUUACACCUGUUGAAUCUGAACUGUGCUUACUGUGACUGUUGUAGGUUUUCGCACGCCCAGAUGCUUACUUAGUGCUGUGAGAGAUGGCAUUCGCCUCACCCAUCGUUUCAGUCUGUGAGCUUGCCUAGUGCCCACUGUACCCACUGGAUCCCUGAGGUGUAGGGCCCAUAAUGUCACAUUACAUGAGGCAAAUAUGGGACACUGAGGCUGAAGGGACUGCUUCAGUGGGCAUCAGGCAGGUGGUGCCUAGAACGCACACAAAACACCAUAAAAUCAAACAGUCAUUGUGGACAUUGCCUGUCUCUCCAGAAAUGUGCAUACUGACAUCUGGUCCCCAUAAGCAAUAAAACACAAUGUGUGCUAAAAACUGACUAAAGAUAGUCUAAAAACAGCCAAGGAAAGGAGAGGUAUGAGAGUGACACAGAUAGGUGACUGAGAAUGGCCCCCUCUCCUGAGAAUGCACCACAGGUACUAACAUAGGGGCCUGGGUUUUUAUCAUCUAUGCCAAUGCAUGCUGGGAACAGAAUGUGUUUGUGGAUUUGUGUGGUAUGUGUAUGGAGUAGGGGCGGGAGAGUGGACAUGAAUGAACAAAUGAACACGUCACAGGUGCAGGAACCUGGUCAGAAGCUCAGCUUGAAGAGACCUUGCCUCAGUACUCGGGGUCUGUUGUGAUGGACACAGGAGGGAAGCAGGGAGAGGAAUGGGUUCCAGGAUGGCUGCUUGUGUGUGGGGUUGGUGCUGAGGUGGUGGUGGUGAUGGUGGUAAUACAUGUUCUGAUGCUGGCAUGACAGGGGAAGGUUCUAGAAGCUGAGCUGUGCUGGAGCUCAGUGGGAACCAGGUGGGAUGGUGAUGCCUUAGAUUGUGCGUCCACGGACAGGCCUUGCUUGGUGAUGGUGCUUUUACUGAUUUUCUUUUUGACACCUAAAAUAAUAAAAACAAAAAAAAAUGCUGAUAUA